CCUCCUUCCACAAUCCUGAACCUGCUUGAUGGGUUGUCAGUGUUGAUCUGUGGAAUCAGGAAGUAGCAAGUUACCUUGUCACCAAGGACAAGCUUACCUUCAAUUGUUUGCCAGAGCAAAUGUUGUCCAAUAGAACGAGAACAAAACCAUCAUACCCAGAGCAGUUGUUGUGAUUUCUGGCUCAUAGUAAUCCUCAACAGGACUUGCACACGAGUAACCACAACCAUUGUAGCAACACUUCAGCGCACCACCACAGCCGGCAUCGUUCUGGCACUCGUUGUCACACUGCCACCAUAAGCAAAGCCCCUGCAGCGUCGCACAGAGGCAUCGUAGUACCACUUGGGGACUGCCUCAUUGCAUGGACCAGGAUUUGCUGUGCUCACCUUGGUUGCGGUAUUUGCCACACUGCCGCUCACAGAGCUCCACACUCUGGAAUCUGUUGGCAUUGCCAGCACAGCCACCAUAAGAGAAAGCAAUACAGCUCUUGGUGUUCACAUCAUAGUACCAGUUGGGUAAGGCUGCUCUACAGUGACCAAUUUCAACUGGCAGUCUGCAGAUUUCUGGCAUUUCACUUUCUGCUGCUACAAGAGACAUAAAAUAAUACAGUCCUAACAACUCAGAUCACAAGAGCUAGCUUUCUUUACCCUCUAUGAUGGUGUCAUCUGGAGUGGUGAUGGUCUGGCAUCGCUGCUCGCAGUGUUGGAUAUUAUCAAACCUGUAAUGACAUGGUCCAACCUCCAUACAUGAACUGCCUGCACACACCCGUCUCGCUGUUGUAGUACCAGUAGACCCUGUAGUCCUCACAGCGACCUUCAUUCUUCUCCAGGAAACAAAAUUCUGGGGAGAACCAAGGUCACAUUAGGAGAGAGCGAGAAUGGAAAGCAAGAGGAUCUUCUUCAGGUUUCCACAAGAGUUCUCACAGUCUUCAUAAGAAUCAAAGUUAUUGCCAUUGCCGUCACAGCCACUAUAUACAAACGACUUGCACUGACCCACAGUGGCAUCAAAGAACCACCGCUCCUCAUACUCAUCACAGCUGCCGGUGCUGCUGGCCAGGUAGCACACUUCUUCAUCAAAGUCUGAAUAAGAGGCAAUAAACUAAUUAUAAUACACUGGGAGAAGACUUAAAAGACACCAUGUAUUCAUUAUAUUGAUUGCAUAUUUAAUAGUUUGAUCCAUGUCUUAUUCAUUUUUUUUUUUUCAUUGUUUGAUGAUUUCAUCAGUGUGUGCACAUUGUGUAAGUGUUUGUACAAGUAUAUUGUUGGUCUAUAUUAACAUUUACUAUAUAUAUUUUGCUACAAAGACAAGGUCAUCCAAGAAAAGUAGCAAACAGACACUGUGGUAUAGAAAUCAAUGCACACACACACACUCAUAUACAUAAAGCUCUCAAACACAAAAACAUGCAGUUAAAUGAAUGGAAAGAAUAAGAAUCCCUACUACUUCCUUACAAUAAAAAGUACAAUUA